AUCGGCCCUGACGCUUGGAAUAUU
rnacentral:miRNA from 1 species